UAUGGGAUUCCACAGACAAUGAGUAUCAAUGGCACAAACUCAUUCUUGAAUUUUUGCCAGUUCAAGAAGAGACUGAGUCAUCAAAUGCUCUAAAUGUCACUUCACCUCAUGU
ensembl:miRNA